rnacentral:rRNA from 1 species
GAGCACGUAGGUGGGUUUGUAAGUCAGAUGUGAAAGCCUUCUGUUCAACGGAAGAAUUGCAUCUGAAACUACGAGUCUUGAGUGUAGGAGGGGAGAAUGGAACUUCUGGUGGAGCGGUGAAAUGCGUAGAUAUCAGAAGGAACGCCGGCGGCGAAAGCGAUUCUCUGGCCUAUUACUGACACUCAGUGUGCGAAAGCUAGGGGAGCAAACGGGAUUAGAUACCCCGGUAGUCCUAGCUGUAAACGAUGGGCACUAAGUAGAGGGGUUUU